AGAGUUUGAUUAUGGCUCAGAACGAACGCUGGCGGCAUGGAUUAGGCAUGCAAGUCGAACGAAGUAGCAAUACUUAGUGGCGCAAGGGUGAGGAACGCGUGAGUGACCUACCCGCAAGUUUGGAACGGCUCCUGGAAACGGGAAUUAAUACCGGAUGUGAUCAAUGAGCUGCAUGGUUUAUUGAUUAAAGCAGUAAUGCGCUUGCGGAUGGGCUCGCGUCCCAUUAGCUAGUUGGUGAGGUAACGGCCCACCAAGGCCAUGAUGGGUAGCUGGUCUGAGAGGACGACCAGCCACACUGGGACUGAGAACUGCCCAGACUCCUACGGGAGGCUGCAGUCGAGAAUUUUGGGCAAUGGACGAAAGUCUGACCCAGCAAUGCCGCGUGCGGGAUGAAGGUCUUCGGAUUGUAAACCGCUGUUUGGAGGGACGAAAAUUGACGGUACUUCCAGAGAAAGCCACGGCUAACUACGUGCCAGCCGCAGC
rnacentral:rRNA from 1 species